rnacentral:rRNA from 1 species
AUUGAACGCUGGCGGCAGGCCUAACACAUGCAAGUCGAACGAGUGGCGGACGGGUGAGUAAUGUCUGGGAAACUGCCUGAUGGAGGGGGAGAACUACUGGAAACGGUAGCUAAUACCGCAUACCAACGGAUGUGCCCAGAUGGGAUUAGCUAGUAGGUGGGGUAAAGGCUAACCUAGGCGACGAUCCCUAGCUGGUCUGAGAGGAUGACCAGGCACACGGGAACGUAGGCACGGUCCAGACUCCAACGGGAGUAAUCAGUGGGGAAUAUUGCACAAUGGGCGCAAGCCUGAUGCAGCCAUGCCGCGUGUAUGAAGAAGGGCUUCGGGUUGUAGAGUACUUUCAGCGGGGAGGCGUUACCCGGAGAAGAAGCGCCGGCUAACUCCGUGCCAGCAGCCGCGGUAAUUC